CAACCAGGGAUUGCCCCAGUAACGGCGAGUGAAGCGGCAACAAGCUCAAAUUUGAAAUCUGGCCCCCCGGGGCCCCGAGUUGUUUUGCAGAGGAUGCUUUUGGCGCGGUGCCUUCCGAGUUCCCUGGAACGGGACGCCAUAGAGGGUGAGAGCCCCGUCUGGUCGGACGCCUAGCCUGUGUAAAGCUCCUUCCACGAGUCGAGUAGUUUGGGAAUGCUGCUCUAAAUGGGAGGUAUAUGUCUUCUAAGCUAAAUACCGGCCAGAGACCGAUAGCGCACAAGUAGAGUGAUCGAAAGAUGAAAAGCACUUUGAAAAGAGGGUUAAAUAGUACGUGAAAUUGUUGAAAGGGAAGCGCUUGUGACCAGACUUGGGCCCGGUGGAUCAUCCAGCGUUCUCGCUGGUGCACUCCGCCGGGUUCAGGCCAGCAUCAGUUCGCCGCGGGGGAAAAAGGCUUCGGGAACGUGGCUCCUACGGGAGUGUUAUAGCCCGUUGCAUAAUACCCUGGGGCGGACUGAGGUUCGCGCUCCGCAAGGAUGCUGGCGUAAUGGUCAUCAAGCGACCCGUCUUGAAACACGGACCAAGGAGUCGUCUUCGUAU
rnacentral:rRNA from 1 species